CUCUCUCCCUCCCUGUCUCGAUGGAAGCUCAGCGCUUUCAUGACAAGCCUCAAGCUGAAGGAGAAUGGUCUACAGGCUUCUGUGAUUGCUUCUCCGACUGCAAAAACUGUAAUAAAAUAAACUCCAUUCUUAUUUUUCAUUUAUCUGAUUUUACACUUAUCGUUGUACGUAUAUAUAUAUAAUAUUAUGGUUGUUCUCAAUAUACAAGUAGUUAUGAUUUUACCUAUUUUUUCUUUAUCACUUGAUACUUUUUUUUUUAUGAAAAAAAAAAGGAUCGACGAGAAAACUUCUAACUUAUCAUGCAAUAAAUGAAUGGACAGG
rnacentral:lncRNA from 1 species